UGCCAAGCAGCCGGUGCCAAGGAACAUCCCUAGCUGCCUCCUCAUUCUGUCCUAUCGCUCUUCCCCAUCCUCCUCUCAAUAAGUCCUCUCAGGUCUAUAAAGCACCUUGAUGCUGUCACCUUCACCAGCUGCACUCCUCUUUCCUCAGCUCCUCAGGUGGAAGACUUUAUCACCACGACUUGUUGCCCUGGAACUCUGAUAAUCAUCAAGAGCUAUCUCACCUAGAAAAUCCCUUUGCCAUGCCAGCCCCCCUCUCCCACUGUGAAAGGAACCAAGGCAUUAUUGAUCCUAUCCUCUGCCUGCCUACAGAGAUGUCCUAAGGUACCAGAAGUGGUAUGUCAGUAGCAAAGAACCUCCAUACCAGAAGAGAGAUAAAAGUUAGGGUCAUUUCUUCAGGAUCCCGGGGAAGAAAAAGACUCAAGAAAACAGAGAUGAAAAAGGAAGAGAAGAUGGAGAAAAGGAUUGGGACAAAGGCAAGCAGAGAAGGUUAUACAAAAGGAGGCACCCCAGUAUCUUUUGUUGACUGAUAUAUGAGCUUAUAACUGCAGAGGCAUAGCAGCUUCAAGAAAAAAUAAAAUAAAACAAACAUGUUUUCA